ACAGCAGCAGCCGCGGUAAUACGAAGGGUGCAAGCGUUAAUCGGAAUUACUGGGCGUAAAGCGUGCGUAGGCGGCUUGUUAAGUCUGUUGUGAAAUCCCCGGGCUCAACCUGGGAAUGGCAAUGGAUACUGGCAAGCUAGAGUGUGUCAGAGGAUGGUGGAAUUCCCGGUGUAGCGGUGAAAUGCGUAGAGAUCGGGAGGAACAUCAGUGGCGAAGGCGGCCAUCUGGGACAACACUGACGCUGAGGCACGAAAGCGUGGGGAGCAAACAGGAUUAGAUACCCCAGUAGUCCCUGUCUCUUAUAC
rnacentral:rRNA from 1 species